rnacentral:rRNA from 1 species
UAGUCCACGCCGUAAACGAUGUCUACUAGCCGUUGGGAAACUUGAUUUCUUAGUGGCGCAGCUAACGCACUAAGUAGACCGCCUGGGGAGUACGGCCGCAAGGUUAAAACUCAAAUGAAUUGACGGGGGCCCGCACAAGCGGUGGAGCAUGUGGUUUAAUUCGAUGCAACGCGAAGAACCUUACCAGGUCUUGACAUACAGCGAACUUUCCAGAGAUGGAUUGGUGCCUUCGGGAACGCUGAUACAGGUGCUGCAUGGCUGUCGUCAGCUCGUGUCGUGAGAUGUUGGGUUAAGUCCCGUAACGAGCGCAACCCUUGUCCUUAGUUGCCAGCGGAUAAUGCCGGGGACUCUAAGAAAACUGCCAGUGUAAACUGAGAGGAAGGUGGGGAUGACGUCAAAUCAUCGCGGCCCUUACGUCCUGGGCUACACACGUGCUACAAUGGUCUGUACAGAGAGUUGCUAACUGGUGACAGUGUGCUAAUCUCUAAAGCAGGCCUCAGUUCGG